rnacentral:rRNA from 1 species
GGCUCAGGAUGAACGCUAGCGGCAGGCUUAAUACAUGCAAGUCAAGGGGGUAGCAAUACAACCAGCGCACGGGUGAGUAACGCGUACACAACAUACCAUAUACUGGAGUAUAGCUUUGGGAAACUGAAGGUAAUCCUCCAUAACAUUGCGAGAGGGCAUCUGAUUGCAAUUAAAGUUCCGGCGGUAUAUGAUUGGUGUGCGUUUGAUUAGCUAGUUGGUAGGGUAACGGCCUACCAAGGCGACGAUCAAUAGCUGGCGUGAGAGCGCGACCAGCCACACUGGAACUGAGACACGGUCCAGACUCCUACGGGAGGCAGCAGUAGGGAAUAUUGGACAAUGGGCGAAAGCCUGAUCCAGCCAUGCCGCGUGAUAGAUGAAGGCCCUCUGGGUUGUAAAUAUCUUUUAUCUGGGAAGAAACUCCUCUAUUCUUAGAGGCCUGACGGUACCAGAGGAAUAAGCACCGGCUAACUCCGUG